UACGUAGGGGGCAAGCGUUGUCCGGAAUCAUUGGGCGUAAAGAGCGCGUAGGCGGCCCGGUAAGUCCGCUGUAAAAGUCCAGGGCUCAACCCUGGAAAGCCGGUGGAUACUGUCGGGCUAGAGUCCGGAAGAGGCGAGUGGAAUUCCUGGUGUAGCGGUGGAAUGCGCAGAUAUCGAGAGGAACACCUGCGGCGAAGGCGGGUUGCUGGGCCGACACUGACGCUGAGUGCGCGAAAGCCAGGGAGCGAAGCGGG
rnacentral:rRNA from 1 species